AGAGAGAGACAUGCGCGCAUAUCAAUAAGCGGAGGAAAAGAAACUAACAAGGAUUCCCCUAGUAACGGCGAGUGAAGCGGGAAGAGCUCAAAUUUGAAAUCUUAAAGGGUUUCCCUUUACGAAUUGUAGUUUAAAGAAGUGUUUUCUGUUGAGGUUUUGGUAAAAGUUCUUUGGAAUAGGACAUCAUAGAGGGUGAGAAUCCCGUAUUUGACCUUUACUUUCAACUUUGUGAUACACUUUCAAAGAGUCGGAUUGUUUGGGAAUGCAGUCCAAAAUGGGUGGUAAAUUUCAUCUAAAGCUAAAUAUUGGCGAGAGACCGAUAGCGAACAAGUACCGUGAGGGAAAGAUGAAAAGAACUUUGAAAAGAGAGUUAAACAGUACGUGAAAUUGUCAAAAGGGAAGCGUUUGACACCAGUGUUGUUUUUCUGAAAAUCAAUUAAAGAACUGUUUAUGCUAAGUUGUUUAGACUUUAUCAGCUAACUGUUUAGUUUUGAGCUUUUCUUUAAUGCACUUUUCAGUUAACAAGUCAACAUCAAUUUCUUUUGCUGUAAAAAGCUUGAGGAAGGUGGCUUGAGAUUCGUCUUAAGUGUUUAUAGCCUCUUGCCUAUGCAGUCCGGAGAGAUUGAGGUCUGCAGCGUAGAUCCUUCGGGGCUAAAUGCAUUUGUGCUAAGUUAUAGCAUUUUAUAGACAACUUGUUGACUAUGAUUUGUCUUGUAGCUUACUCGCUUAUGUUAUUUUACCUACGCUUAGGAUGUUGACGCAUGAGAUAUACGC
rnacentral:rRNA from 1 species